rnacentral:rRNA from 1 species
UCUACGGGUAGCAGCAGUGGGGAAUAUUGCACAAUGGGGGAAACCCUGCUGCAGCGACGCCGCGUGAGUGAGGAAGUAUUUCGGUAUGUAAAGCUCUAUCAGCAGGGAAGAAAAUGACGGUACCUGACUAAGAAGCCCCGGCUAACUACGUGCCAGCAGCCGCGGUAAUACGUAGGGGGCAAGCGUUAGCCGGAUUUACUGGGUGUAAAGGUAGCGUAAACGGAAUUGCAAGUCUGAUGUGAAAAUCCGGGGCCCAACCCCGGAACUGCAUUGGACACUGUAUUUCUAGAGUGUCGGCGAGGCAAGUGGAAGUCCUGGGGGAGCGGUGACAUGCGUAGAUAUCAGGUGGAACACCAGUGGCGAAGGAGGCUUGCUGGACGAUGACUGACGUUGAGGCUCGAAAGCGUGGGGAGCAAACAGGAUUAGAUACCCGUGUAGUC